rnacentral:lncRNA from 1 species
CUUGGGAGGUGAUCCCGAGCCGAGAACAGAGCCCGUUCUCUGAGAUCUUGCUCUUGCUGUUCUUCCUUUCACUCCCAUGUCCAAGGUUCCAGGCACUUUAUUUUUCUUUCAAUAAAGGAGCAUUUGGGUAAUGAUUGUCUAUGAGUUACUCAGACACCUCUGACUGGACUGUGUCCUCUUUUUCAAAGAGGCAGUACCCAGCCACAUAGCCAUAGGCAAGAGGACAGAAUUAGAAGCCAUUAUCUGCUCUGGAAACAUACAUACCCUGGAUUCUAAUAUUUUCUUCUUGCCCUCAACCUGUGUGGACUGCAGGCUCAAUGAGUCACACAGGCACUCGUGUCUGAAUAUCUUGUGGAUACCCAGUCACAAGUUAUUGUGUAUUGCCUCCUGUGCUUAAGCUGUUUAACAAAAUACUAUCAUGCUUCCAUGUACAAUUCCUGUGCCCUCUCCUUCCCUUGGCUGUGUGAGUUGGGGGUAGAGGAAGUGAUAGAAGCUGUCUAAGCAGUGGGGUGGGAAGGACCUUGGCCUCUUUCUGUGUUUAUAACUGGAUCUGUGAUUCAUCCUGUGAGUCACUCAGCUCCACCUUCCUCCUCCAGCUACCCCUCCCAGCAGCCCUUGCUCCUGGCACAAACCUAUAACCAGAGCGAGGGUCUGAAAAUGGAAAAAUCUGACACAGCUCCUUGCCUCUCUAUCCCCUUUCCAUCCAGUGGACAUCUAUCUGCAUUUGUGCUGCAGGUGGUGAGAGUCUUCCUGUUAACCUAAUCCUCAACUGCAGCCCCUUUGUGCUUCUGGUUAGGCGAUGAUCACAUCACUUCUCUCCGUCCUGACCAUUCCCUCUAUAUUCUGCUGUUCCCAUACCUCAAGAUAUUAAAGAACAGAAUGAGGCUUUCGGAGGAAAGUGGUGGGGAGAAGAAAAGUAGGUCAUGGGAUUUUGGCACACCUGUUCCUAAGCUGUUCCUUACUACAUACUUUAUUCCAGAAGCAUUGAGGUGUGUGGUGGGGUGGUGGUGACCAGCAGUCUUUAGGACUUCUACAAUCAGGCGUCUAGACCAGCUUGCUAGCAAGUACAUACCUGUUUGUUCCAGUCUCUGCUCAUGCUAGUUCACUAUUUCCACAGUUGCAGCCAACAAAGAGAACUUUGGAAGCUGAGGCUGGAAGGAUGUGUGCUGUGGGGAAGGGAGUGUUGAAUGUCACGGCCCCCACCUAAGGAUUGCUGCCUCUGUACAGACUCAAAAACAAUAAAACAGCAGCUCAUUAACACC